GAUGAACGCUGGCGGCGUGCCUAAUACAUGCAAGUCGAGCGAACAGAUAAGGAGCUUGCUCCUUUGACGUUAGCGGCGGACGGGUGAGUAACACGUGGGUAACCUACCUAUAAGACUGGGAUAACUUCGGGAAACCGGAGCUAAUACCGGAUAACAUUUGGAACCGCAUGGUUCUAAAGUGAAUGAUGGUUUUGCUAUCACUUAUAGAUGGACCCGCGCCGUAUUAGCUAGUUGGUAAGGUAACGGCUUACCAAGGCGACGAUACGUAGCCGACCUGAGAGGGUGAUCGGCCACACUGGAACUGAGACACGGUCCAGACUCCUACGGGAGGCAGCAGUAGGGAAUCUUCCGCAAUGGGCGAAAGCCUGACGGAGCAACGCCGCGUGAGUGAUGAAGGGUUUCGGCUCGUAAAACUCUGUUAUUAGGGAAGAACAAAUGUGUAAGUAACUGUGCACGUCUUGACGGUACCUAAUCAGAAAGCAACGGCUAACUACGUG
rnacentral:rRNA from 1 species